GAUGAACGCUGGCGGUAUGCUUAACACAUGCAAGUCGAACGGACUCUUCGGAGUUAGUGGCGGACGGGUGAGUAACGCGUGAGAAUCUGGCUUUGGGUUCGGGACACCCACUUUAAACGGUGGCUAAUACCGGAUGUGCCGAGAGGUAAUAGAGAAAUGGCCUGAAGAUGAGCUCGGGUCUGAUUAGCUAGUUGGUGAGGUAAAGGCUCACCUAUGCAGCGAUCAGUAGCUGGUCUGAGAGGAUGACCAGACACAGUGAGUCUGAGACACGGCAGAGACUCCUGGGGGGGGGAGGAGUGGAGAAUUGUACAAAAGGGGGAAGCGUGUGGCAGAGAAGUACCGCGUGGGAGAAGGAGGCUCUUGGGGUGAAAAGCUCUUUCCUUAGAGAAGGAGAGAGUGACGGUAACUAAGGAAGAAGCAUCGGCUAACUACGUG
rnacentral:rRNA from 1 species